GGCAGUGUAGUACAAUGGUUAAGGUGCUAGUCUCGUAACCUAAAGGAUACAGGUUUGAUUCCUGGGUAAGACACUGCCG
rnacentral:tRNA from 1 species